UACGGAGGGUGCAAGCGUUAUCCGGAUUCACUGGGUUUAAAGGGUGCGUAGGCGGGCAGGUAAGUCAGUGGUGAAAUCCCCGAGCUCAACUUGGGAAUUGCCGUUGAUACUAUCUGUCUUGAAUAUCGUGGAGGUGAGCGGAAUAUGUCACGUAGCGGUGAAAUGCUUAGAUAUGACAUAGAACACCCAUUGCGAAGGCAGCUCACUACACGACAAUUGACGCUGAGGCACGAAAGCGUGGGGAGCAAACAGG
rnacentral:rRNA from 1 species